rnacentral:tRNA from 10 species
CUUGGAGUGUCCCAUGCUUCCCUCGUGCCCCAAAACAUGAUGCAACCCAUGGGAAAUCAAGUCACUUGCCAGUCACAUGAAGGUCCCUUGCUAUUCAGCCAGCACAAAGGUCUUUGUGCUGGUCAAUCCAGCUGCAGGAUUCUAGCUUUCCAAGAAGAAGCAAGUUGAUGGGAGCAAGCACUGAAAGUGGAAACAGGCAGAAGCUUGUAAACAGGGUGUACUCCCCACCAUUCAGAGGCAGAGCCAAACCGAGAAUGAAAAACAGCAUCCCAUCGUCUGGUCCUGCCCAGCAACUUCAUCCCAAGCUCAGUGAGAUGCUGUCCCCAGAGCUGCAGCCGGGGAGACUCCUCCAGUUUCACAAGCACACCCUCUUGUAAUUUCCACCUCUUUGGAGUAGCAACUUGGAUAAAUUGAAAAUGGCACAUGAAACAUCUCUGUGCCUUUCAAAGGGAGGGAGCAUCUCUAAUGAGCUUUUGAAAGAAAGCACAGCAUCGCCCAGUGGAAAGAAAUGUGUAGUGACCACCCAGGCCUGCAGACGAGGCUCUACGAUCAAGCGUGGAUGCUAAUUCCUGAUUCCACCCAGUCUCACAUUAAUUCUCAGGAGUCAGAAGACCUACAAAUGUACUCAGGGCAUCCAGAGAGAGGCAGAAUGCUGCUGGAUUGGACACAAAGGACCUGGUCUCUAAUUCUAGUGCCACUUAUUUCCUUCUUCCCCCAGGUCCGCGACUCUGGCUUUGAGACAGCUGCUUUCCCAACUCUCAUUCAUGGGAAACCCACCCUAGCUGAGCUUCCCACCUCAGAGCAAACUGGAGAGAACCCAUGCCAAGUGCUUCAGCAGUCGCGGGGAUGAGAGUCCUACGCAAAUAUGAAAUGUGGCAUGCAGUCUCACAGAAGAACAUGUUCUCACCAAGGAUUGUUACAGAGAGCUGCCUUGUUCAAAGGUCCAAAACGGCUUUGGCAAAGGGUAUCUUUCUUUCCAUAUUUGGCCAGAAAUAUGAGCUGACAGCAAAUGCUAUGAUUUUGAAAUACAUGGCAUAUUAUUUUUGCGAGAUAGUCUAUCUUUGGUGGUAUAUUCCACAGCUGAUAUCCAAUACUGUUAAAUGUUGAAGUCAGAAGACUUUAAACCAAAAUAGGAGAUAGCAAUUAAGUAAUGCUGUGCCCAAUCUGUUGCCAUUGGAGGCUGGUGCAUUAUCACUGGUUAAAGAGCAAGUGGGGAAUUUGUAACAAAUAUUAGUCACGAGGCUAACCCAUCAGGCUCACGUGGGAGAAGGAAAAAGGAAGAGGCUAUAGGAUCAGGAUGUCUCUCUCCCCUGUCUGCAGAUGUUAUAAAUGGAUCUGGCCCUAAGAAACAACUUCUUGUUUUAAGAUGUUCUAGGGCGGCCUUGGCAGGUGAGUGGAGAUUUAAAGUCAAGAAACAUAGAAUUUUGUGCAUUAUUUGACAGAUUUUUUGACCAUGUCUGAAUUCAAAAUGGCCCCAGUUAGACUGGUGCUUUGGAAGUCCAUUUUGUUUAAGAUGAGGAUAUUGAAAGAAAUUCACAGGCACAAUUUUCUCAAGUCAAAAAUAUAACCUGAUGAGUAGCAACUAUAUGGGAGGAAAAUGGGGUAAACACAGAGUGGUCUUCAUAGUGCUGAGAUCUGACCUCACCCCCACCCUACACUCUGUGGGGCAGCUCUGGACUGCAAUUCUGCCUGCUUGCCACUGAGGCAUGACCAGCAUCUGUAGAAGGCAAAAAGUGUCUGCAAAAUGAAAGAGCCACUGUGACAAGGUGGCUCUGUCAUUUUGCAGACACUUUUUGACACAGAAAAAGCUCUGGCUGCAGACUUAACAUGAACAACCAGAGGCCAGCAGGGCCAGCACCACCUCCACUCCAGUCUGGUCUGAGUGGUCAUGGGGGCUGAGGCUGUGAUAGCUGACUCUUCAUGAAAGCAUCUGUCAAGGGGACAGUGUGGAUUUUGCUAGAUUGAGAUCUGGUCAAGGGUCUCCAUGCUGAAGGAUGAAUUAUACUUUCUUUUUGUGUGGGUUUUUCUUUUUUUCUGGACAAACAGAUAUCACACAGAGUUUUGGAACAAUCCUAACACACCUUUGGACUUUUGGAUGAAUAAAGUUCUCUACCUACAAGUCAGCAUAGCACAAUGAAAGCAGUAAGGAAGCCUUGAGUUUCCAUCGUUGGAUUCGGACUUCAUGGUGAAAUGCAAGUAGGUCACUUGCCUAAGUACAAAUAUGUGAUCUCAAUGUUGGCCAAAAAAUGGGCAAAACUUCCUUAGGAAGCAAGGGUGAGAGGAAUGGGGUCUGAGAGCUAAUCCAGAAGCCCAGAAUUCAGCCCAGGAUUGCAGGGGCCCGCAGGCCUUUGAAAACGACUGGACUUCUCAAGGCUCCCAGGUCCUGGCCAGGUUGAAAUCCCUGAGGACCAUGGCCGCAGAAGAGUACAAUGAUGGGAUGGCGUAGGGUAGGUCCCUGGCAGAAACCAGUUGAUAUUUGUUUCUUUAUAAUGUAGAAUAUCAAGAUUGGGAGCAGAGAUUCUCAAGCUUUGCUCACACCAGAAUUCCCUGGGCAGCUCUGAAAGAUCCCCAAGCCCAGGUGUCCCAUCAGACCCACGGAGCCGGAAUAUGGAGGGGCCCAGGCAUUAGACCUACCUUUCUCACCCACCAUGAGAUUUCACAGGGAUAAAAACAACCUGUGCAUGUAUAAGCAGGUUAACUCUCAUCAGGUUAAAUCAAACCUAGAGGAAGCAAAUGACAGACAUUUCCUGACCUCCAACCCCCAGGCACUUUUCUUCAGAUGAUAAUGAGUCAUUGCCGAGCGAGUGGUACUUCAUUCCCCACUCACCUUCCCACAGGGACACCGAUGCAGUCAACCCUGUCCUCCUGUG